rnacentral:rRNA from 1 species
UGUGAACUCGAAGAGUAGGGCGGGACACGUGGUAUCCUGUCUGAAUAUGGGGGGACCAUCCUCCAAGGCUAAAUACUCCUGACUGACCGAUAGUGAACCAGUACCGUGAGGGAAAGGCGAAAAGAACCCCGGCGAGGGGAGUGAAAAAGAACCUGAAACCGUGUACGUACAAGCAGUGGGAGCACCUUUAUGGUGUGACUGCGUACCUUUUGUAUAAUGGGUCAGCGACUUAUAUUCUGUAGCAAGGUUAACCGUAUAGGGGAGCCGCAGGGAAACCGAGUCUUAACUGGGCGUUAAGUUGCAGGGUAUAGACCCGAAACCCGGUGAUCUAGCCAUGGGCAGGUUGAAGGUUGGGUAACACUAACUGGAGGACCGAACCGACUAAUGUUGAAAAAUUAGCGGAUGACUUGUGGCUGGGGGUGAAAGGCCAAUCAAACCGGGAGAUAGCUGGUUCUCCCCGAAAGCUAUUUAGGUAGCGCCUCGUGAA